CUACGGGGGGCACCAGUGGGGAAUAUUGGACAAUGGGCGAAAGCCUGAUCCAGCAAUGCCGCGUGAGUGAUGAAGGCCUUAACCGGUUGUAAAGCUCUUUUGUCAGGGAAGAUAAUGACGGUACCUGAAGAAUAAGCACCGACUAAUACGUGCCAGCAGUCGCGGUAAUACGUAGGGUGCAAGCGUUAUUCGGAAUUACUGGGUGUAAAGGGCGCGUAGGCGGAUAUGUUAGUUAUUUGUGUAAUUCCUGGGCUUAACCUGGGGUUUGCAAGUAAUACUGCAUAUCUAGAGUUUUAUAGAAGAUGAUAGAAGUCCUGGUGUAGGGGUUAAAUCCGCAGAUAUCAGGAGGAAUACCGAAAGCGAAAGCAGUCAUCUAUGUAAACACUGACGCUGAGGCGCGAAAGCGUGGGGAGCAAAUAGGAUUAGAUACCCGGGUAGUC
rnacentral:rRNA from 1 species